GGACACCACCUCCACGGGCGGCGGGAGCCUCUUCAGGUUCGACUGGGAGCAGCAGCAGGUGGAGCCGGGCAUGGCCGGGUCGUCUGGCUGGCUGGGGGUGAGCACCAACCUGCGCACG
rnacentral:SRP_RNA from 1 species